rnacentral:rRNA from 1 species
AGCAGCCGCGGUAAUUCCAGCUCCAAUAGCGUAUAUUAAAGUUGUUGCAGUUAAAAAGCUCGUAGUUGAAUUUCGGGAUCAGUUUGUUGGUCGUGCUUCGGUACGUACUGUCAUUACUGGUUUCUACCUUCUGAAGAACCUUGAUGUCAUUAAUUUGGUGUCUUGGGGAAUCAGGACUGUUACUUUGAAAAAAUUAGAGUGUUUAAAGCAAGCUCGCGCUUGAAUACAUUAGCAUGGAAUAAUGAAAUAGGACGUUUGAUUCUAUUUCGUUGGUUUCUAGGAUCGACGUAAUGAUUAAUAGGGAUAGUUGGGGGCAUUAGUAUUCAAUUGUCAGAGGUGAAAUUCUUGGAUUUAUUGAAGACUAACUACUGCGAAAGCAUUUGCCAAGGAUGUUUUCAUUAAUCAAGAACGAAAGUUAGGGGAUCGAAGACGAUCAGAUACCGUCGUAGUCUUAACCAUAAACUAUGCCGACUAGGGAUCGGGAUGAUGUUAAUUUUUUAAUGACUCAUUCGGCGCCUUA